rnacentral:lncRNA from 1 species
UAAGGAGAAGGAAAAUGCAUAGUAACACAAAGAGCCAUCAGAAACCUGUGAUGUCUGAUUCUGAUCACGCACUAGUAAGAGCUGUCAGUAACUGGUGAGAUCAACCAUUAUCCAAAAACAUGUGACAUGGAUUGGACAAAAUCUUCUAUGUCUAGCAGUGAAGUUUUAACCUCAAUAUACAUAUUUGAACAAUAUAUAUUUUUCUGUCUACUAAAGACAUAAUGGCUGCUCCUUUUAUGGGAAACCAGGAUUUAAUCCAGCAGACAGAAUCAGAGACCAUCCAAUGUCCAGCUCUGUGUGCUCAGAAAAAAAAGCACAUCACAAAAGUGUCUGCAAAAUAA